rnacentral:lncRNA from 12 species
UUUUGUUACACGCCAAACCACUCAGGUGAAGCCUUCAGCAUCUUUAACUCUGCUUUUCUUAGGAAGGACCUCAGCUUCUGAGACUGAAGAGACUUCUCUGAAGCCAUGAGCUAACAGCAUGGGAAAGCAAGGGCAUGGGGGAAAAGAGAAGUUCUUUCCCAAAGGAGGGGUUUUAAUGUGGCUGAAGGAAGGAAUUAAGACUUUGGAUCGAGGCUUUAGCACCAUGUUAGUAUUUCUUCACCCCUGAGCUGGGAUGGUCUCUCACUUUACACUGAGGAAAUGCAAACAGUGUAUGAGGAUGCAGCUUGUGGAGCAGAUACUGCACUGACCCCAAGGCUGCCCUGCAUCCCACAGAAAUGAACCAGCCAAACUCCCAGUGAACAUGUAAGAGAAAUACAGAGAGAGG